GACAGAGGUGCCGAGCGUUAGGCGGAAUCACUGGGCUUAAAGCGUGUGUAGGCGGGCCGUUAAGUACCUUGUGAAAUCCCCCGGCUCAACCGGGGAACGGCUGGGUAUACUGGCGGCCUUGAGACACCUAGGGGCAUGCGGAACUUCCGGUGGAGCGGUGAAAUGCGUAGAUAUCGGGAGGAACACCUGUGGCGAAAGCGGCGCACUGGACCACAACUGACGCUGAGGCGCGAAAGCUAGGGGAGCAAACAGG
rnacentral:rRNA from 1 species